GACCAUAUUACGUUGAAACACCGGUUCCUGUAUGAUCACCGAAGUUAAGCAACGUCGAGAAUGGCCAGUACCUGGAUGGGUGACCGCUUGGGAAUACUAGUUGCUGUAA